rnacentral:rRNA from 1 species
CGAACAGACGAGGAGCUUGCUCCUCUGACGUUUAGCGGCGGACGGGUGAGUAACACGUGGAUAACCUACCUAUAAGACUGGGAUAACUUCGGGAAACCGGAGCUAAUACCGGAUAAUAUAUUGAACCGCAUGGUUCAAUAGUGAAAGACGGUUUUGCUGUCACUUAUAGAUGGAUCCGCGCCGCAUUAGCUAGUUGGUAAGGUAACGGCUUACCAAGGCAACGAUGCGUAGCCGACCUGAGAGGGUGAUCGGCCACACUGGAACUGAGACACGGUCCAGACUCCUACGGGAGGCAGCAGUAGGGAAUCUUCCGCAAUGGGCGAAAGCCUGACGGAGCAACGCCGCGUGAGUGAUGAAGGUCUUCGGAUCGUAAAACUCUGUUAUUAGGGAAGAACAAAUGUGUAAGUAACUAUGCACGUCUUGACGGUACCUAAUCAGAAA